UACGUAGGGUGCGAGCGUUGUCCGGAAUUAUUGGGCGUAAAGGGCUCGUAGGCGGUUUGUCACGUCGGGAGUGAAAACUCAGGGCUCAACCCUGAGCCUGCUUCCGAUACGGGCAGACUAGAGGUAUGCAGGGGAGAACGGAAUUCCUGGUGUAGCGGUGAAAUGCGCAGAUAUCGGGAAGAACACCCGUGGCGAAGGCGGCACUCUGGGACGGUACUGACGCUGAGACGCGAAAGCGUGGGGAGCGAACAGG
rnacentral:rRNA from 1 species